GGACCAAGGAGUCUAGCAUGUGCGCGAGUCAUUGGGACUAUCGAAUCCUAAAGGCGCAAUGAAAGUGAACGUGAGUUAUACUCUCUGAGGGAAGAUGGGCAAUGAAAUAAGUGCCUCGCACUCCCGGGGCGUCUCAUUCUCAUUGCGAGAAGAGGCGCACCUAGAGCGUACAUGCUGGGACCC
rnacentral:rRNA from 1 species